UUAACCAAGGUACAGAAUUAUUAUAUUAUUAUAUGAAUACAAUAAAGAUUUAACCUGGGCCUAGUAGGCAAUCAUAUGCCUAAACAGAGGAUGAACAGCGCGUGUAGAUUUCCCACUGCAGAGCACGUGUGUGCAGGCGAAAGGGAAGAAUGGUCCGUAGACAACACCGACUCGAGUUAUUAGAAGCUGUCGAAGAUGUGGUGUGGGUGUAAGAUAUGGCUCUUGAUUAGACGACUCAAUAUGAUAGAGACCGGAGGUAUAGUGGUCAGCGAAAAACACCUUUUUACGGGAGCUCCGGGAGAUGAUCUAUAGCAACUUUACAAAAAAAAAAAAAAAAAAAAAAAACUAAAAUAUAGUUGAAAAUACGACAGCAAAUGUAUAAAAUUUCACAUUAAUAAACUUAAGUUUUCUCAAAAAUUCUAGAAAAA